GACGAACGCUGGCGGCGUGCCUAAUACAUGCAAGUAGGACGCAGUUGCGAACGGGUGAGUAACGCGUAGGUAACUGCCUAUUAGAGGGGGAUAACUAUUGGAAACGAUAGCUAAUACCGCAUACUAGUAGAUGGACCUGCGUUGUAUUAGCUAGUAGGUAGGGUAAGGGCCUACCUAGGCGACGAUACAUAGCCGACCUUAGAGGGGGGUCGACCCAACUUGGACUGGGACACGGCCCAGACUCCUACGGGAGGCAGCAGUAGGGAAUCUUCGGCAAUGGGGGGAACCCUGACCGAGCAACGCCGCGUGAGUGAAGAAGGUUUUCGGAUCGUAAAGCUCUGUUGUUUAGGAAGCGGUACUCAACCAGAAAGGGACGGCUAACUACGUGCCAGCAGCCGCGGUAAUUC
rnacentral:rRNA from 1 species